rnacentral:rRNA from 1 species
GACGUAGGGCGCGAGCGUUGUCCGGAAUUAUUGGGCGUAAAGAGCUCGUAGGCGGCUUGUCGCGUCGACUGUGAAAACCUGCAGCUCAACUGUGGGCUUGCAGUCGAUACGGGCAGGCUAGAGUUCGGUAGGGGAGACUGGAAUUCCUGGUGUAGCGGUGAAAUGCGCAGAUAUCAGGAGGAACACCGGUGGCGAAGGCGGGUCUCUGGGCCGAUACUGACGCUGAGGAGCGAAAGCGUGGGGAGCGAACAGG